AUUGAACGCUGGCGGCGGGCCUAACACAUGCAAGUCGAGCGGAGCGGCGGACGGGUGGGUAAUGCCUAGGAAUCUGCCUGGUCGUUGGGGAUAGCGUCAGGAACCGGACACUAAUACCGCAUACUCUCAGAUGAGCCUAGGGCGGAUUAGCUAGUUGGUUGGGUAAAGGCCUACCAAGGCGACGAUCCGUAACUGGUCUGAGAGGAUGAUCAGUCACACUGGAACUGAGACACGGUCCAAACUCCUACGGGAGGCAGCAGUGGGGAAUAUUGCACAAUGGGCGAAAGCCUGAUCCAGCAAUGCCGCGUGUGUGAAGAAGGUUUUCGGAUUGUAAAGCACUGUAAGUUGGGAGGCGUUACCAACAGAAUAAGCAACGGCUAACUUCGUGCCAGCAGCCGCGGUAAUUC
rnacentral:rRNA from 1 species